rnacentral:rRNA from 1 species
AUUGAACGCUGGCGGCAGGCCUAACACAUGCAAGUCGAGCGGCAGCGGGAAAGUAGCUUGCUACUUUUGCCGGCGAGCGGCGGACGGGUGAGUAAUGCCUGGGGAUCUGCCCAGUCGAGGGGGAUAACUACUGGAGACGGUCGCUAAUACCGCAUACGCUCUACGGGGGAAAGGAGGGGACCUUCGGGCGUUGCGCGAUUGGAUGCACCCGGGUGGGAUUAGUUAGUUGGUGAGGUAAUGGCUCACCAAGGCGACGAUCCCAAGCUGGUCUGGGAGGAUGAUCGGCCACACUGGAACUGAGACACGGUCCAGACUCCUACGGGAGGCAGCAGUGGGAAAGAUUGCACAAUGGGGGAAACCCUGAUGCAGCCUUGCCGCUUGUGUGAGGAAGGCCUUCGGGUUGUAAGCACUUUCAGCGAGGAGGAAGGGUUGGUAGCUAAUAACUGCCAGCUGUGACGUUACUCGCAGAAGAAGCACCGGCUAACUCCGUGCCAGCCGCCGCGGUAA